AUUUUUUAUUUUUAUUUUUGAGAGACAGAGACAGCAGAGCAGGGGAGGGUCAGAGAGAGGGAGAUACAGAAUCUGAAGCAGGCUCCAGGCUCUGAGCUGUCAGCACAGAGCCCGACGCGGGGCUUGAACCCACGAACAGUGAGAUCAUGACCUGAGCUGAAGCUCAACCGACUGAGCCACCGAGGCUCCCCUACAAUCCUCCUUAUAUGACAAAUAAGGACCCAAAUCAUGUAAAGUCCUGAGAAACUUAUCUGUUUCAGAAUAUAAGUAUCUGAUGAAGAAGACUACUGACCUACGUCAGACCAUUUUUGGAAGGCAGUUUCAUUCCUCAAAGCUCUGCCAGGAGAACGGAAGGGACCAGAGGAACUGUGUGGGCACAGAAGGCCGGUGGCAAAGAAGGGAGUGGAAAAGAGGUUGCAGAAGAUUUACUUCAUGCACAGGAAAUGGUGGCGUUGCCUCUGGGCUCGGUGCUGCCGCAACCCUGGGGUUGGGAAACUCAGAAAAGGAGCACAUCGUGGGACCCUGGGCCCUGCUUGGGGGAUAGAUUGUGUCCUCACGAGGUUUGAGGGGCCACACAGCACAGACCGUGAUCCGGGUGGCUGGGGAAGGCCGCACAGGUGGGGGUCACAGCCUGUGGAAAGAAGAGUGAGGAUGGCAGACGUCCUGGGGCAGCACCCAGCCUCCCUGCGGCUGGCGUGUGGGCAUGGCUGCCAGGGACUGUGCCAUCUGUAA
ensembl:lncRNA